GGGUUGUGAGGUUAAGCGACUAAGCGUACACGGUGGAUGCCCUGGCAGUCAGAGGCGAUGAAGGACGUGCUAAUCUGCGAAAAGCGCCGGCGAGGUGAUAUGAACCUUUGACCCGGCGAUGUCCGAAUGGGGAAACCCAGUGUGUUCCGACACACUAUCGUUAACUGAAUACAUAGGUUAACGAGGCGAACCGGGGGAACUGAAACAUCUAAGUACCCCGAGGAAAAGAAAUCAACCGAGAUUCCCCCAGUAGCGGCGAGCGAACGGGGAGCAGCCCAGAGUCUGAAUCAGCUUGUGUGUUAGUGGAAGCGUCUGGAAAGUCGCACGGUACAGGGUGACAGUCCCGUACACGAAAAUGCACAGGUUGUGAACUCGAAGAGUAGGGCGGGACACGUGGUAUCCUGUCUGAAUAUGGGGGGACCAUCCUCCAAGGCUAAAUACUCCUGACUGACCGAUAGUGAACCAGUACCGUGAGGGAAAGGCGAAAAGAACCCCGGCGAGGGGAGUGAAAAAGAACCUGAAACCGUGUACGUACAAGCAGUGGGAGCACCUUCGUGGUGUGACUGCGUACCUUUUGUAUAAUGGGUCAGCGACUUAUAUUCUGUAGCAAGGUUAACCGUAUAGGGGAGCCGAAGGGAAACCGAGUCUUAACUGGGCGUUAAGUUGCAGGGUAUAGACCCGAAACCCGGUGAUCUAGCCAUGGGCAGGUUGAAGGUUGGGUAACACUAACUGGAGGACCGAACCGACUAAUGUUGAAAAAUUAGCGGAUGACUUGUGGCUGGGGGUGAAAGGCCAAUCAAACCGGGAGAUAGCUGGUUCUCCCCGAAAGCUAUUUAGGUAGCGCCUCGUGAACUCAUCUUCGGGGGUAGAGCACUGUUUCGGCUAGGGGGCCAUCCCGGCUUACCAACCCGAUGCAAACUACGAAUACCGAAGAAUGUUAUCACGGGAGACACACGGCGGGUGCUAACGUCCGUCGUGAAGAGGGAAACAACCCAGACCGCCAGCUAAGGUCCCAAAGUCAUGGUUAAGUGGGAAACGAUGUGGGAAGGCACAGACAGCCAGGAUGUUGGCUUAGAAGCAGCCAUCAUUUAAAGAAAGCGUAAUAGCUCACUGGUCGAGUCGGCCUGCGCGGAAGAUGUAACGGGGCUAAACCAUGCACCGAAGCUGCGGCAGCGACACUAUGUGUUGUUGGGUAGGGGAGCGUUCUGUAAGCCGUUGAAGGUGGCCUGUGAGGGUUGCUGGAGGUAUCAGAAGUGCGAAUGCUGACAUAAGUAACGAUAAUGCGGGUGAAAAGCCCGCACGCCGGAAGACCAAGGGUUCCUGUCCAACGUUAAUCGGGGCAGGGUGAGUCGACCCCUAAGGCGAGGCCGAAAGGCGUAGUCGAUGGGAAACAGGUUAAUAUUCCUGUACUUGGUGUUACUGCGAAGGGGGGACGGAGAAGGCUAUGUUAGCCGGGCGACGGUUGUCCCGGUUUAAGCAUGUAGGCGGAGGUUCCAGGUAAAUCCGGUACCUUUUUAACGCUGAGGUGUGAUGACGAGGCACUACGGUGCUGAAGUAACAAAUGCCCUGCUUCCAGGAAAAGCCUCUAAGCAUCAGGUAACAUCAAAUCGUACCCCAAACCGACACAGGUGGUCAGGUAGAGAAUACCAAGGCGCUUGAGAGAACUCGGGUGAAGGAACUAGGCAAAAUGGUGCCGUAACUUCGGGAGAAGGCACGCUGAUAUGUAGGUGAAGCCCCUGCGGGUGGAGCUGAAAUCAGUCGAAGAUACCAGCUGGCUGCAACUGUUUAUUAAAAACACAGCACUGUGCAAACACGAAAGUGGACGUAUACGGUGUGACGCCUGCCCGGUGCCGGAAGGUUAAUUGAUGGGGUUAGCGGCAACGCGAAGCUCUUGAUCGAAGCCCCGGUAAACGGCGGCCGUAACUAUAACGGUCCUAAGGUAGCGAAAUUCCUUGUCGGGUAAGUUCCGACCUGCACGAAUGGCGUAAUGAUGGCCAGGCUGUCUCCACCCGAGACUCAGUGAAAUUGAACUCGCUGUGAAGAUGCAGUGUACCCGCGGCAAGACGGAAAGACCCCGUGAACCUUUACUAUAGCUUGACACUGAACACUGGUCCUUGAUGUGUAGGAUAGGUGGGAGGCUUUGAAGCGUGGACGCCAGUCUGCGUGGAGCCAACCUUGAAAUACCACCCUUUAAUGGCUGGUGUUCUAACGUAGACCCGUAAUCCGGGUUGCGGACAGUGUCUGGUGGGUAGUUUGACUGGGGCGGUCUCCUCCCAAAGAGUAACGGAGGAGCACGAAGGUUAGCUAAUCCUGGUCGGACAUCAGGAGGUUAGUGCAAUGGCAUAAGCUAGCUUGACUGCGAGAGUGACGGCUCGAGCAGGUGCGAAAGCAGGUCAUAGUGAUCCGGUGGUUCUGAAUGGAAGGGCCAUCGCUCAACGGAUAAAAGGUACUCCGGGGAUAACAGGCUGAUACCGCCCAAGAGUUCAUAUCGACGGCGGUGUUUGGCACCUCGAUGUCGGCUCAUCACAUCCUGGGGCUGAAGUAGGUCCCAAGGGUAUGGCUGUUCGCCAUUUAAAGUGGUACGCGAGCUGGGUUUAGAACGUCGUGAGACAGUUCGGUCCCUAUCUGCCGUGGGCGCUGGAGAAUUGAGGGGGGCUGCUCCUAGUACGAGAGGACCGGAGUGGACGCAUCACUGGUGUUCGGGUUGUCAUGCCAAUGGCACUGCCCGGUAGCUAAAUGCGGAA
rnacentral:rRNA from 2 species